AUCAAGCAGUUAAGCAAAUUAAAUCACAACUCAGAAAUCACAACUGAAGGUAAUCAAUUCAUAUUACAAAUAUAUUCAUGGUUUUGAAUUAACCUCUAGCCAAAAUAAAUUUAGUUACACAUUAUUAAAACAGAAAUAAAAUAUAAGUUUGGAAAGAUUUAACCGAAAGAGGAAAAGAUCUCUGUCUGCGUUUCCACUGAGCUGCCCUCUCGCUGCCCAAAGGCAACGCCUAUCUGCACGUCUCUGCUCCCCGUUCCUUCUCGCUACGCCUUCCACCUCUCUUUUAUUUCUGCUGUCAGUCAAGGCUGCAAGACAGCACCCGUGCUCAACCUCUCGUUUCUAUCCUUCCUCUGACUGUCUCGCUGACAGUCUCCUGGCGCACUGUCUCCCCAAUUCUUUUCUUCACGACCUUCUUAUAUUUUCCUUUCCGUCAGUCUACCCGCGUCAACCCCUCUCACUGCCUAAAGGCAGCACCUCGUCUGGACCCUUUCUCUAUCCCAUACUGACUUGCCUCGUCUCUCCGUCCUCUCCCCCAAUUAGUUUUCUGUUCCGCACCUGCCCUCCUCACGUUGCCCAAAGGCAACCUCUAUUCUAUAUCCCCCUCCUGACUUCUCCCGCAUCUUCUUCUUUUUAUAUUUUUCUUGUCAGUCAGUCCAUUCUGCUCCUUUAUGCCGUGUCCAUUCACUGCCCUCUCUUCUUCUUUUCUUUCUGUCCGCACUCAGUCCCGCACUACCUCUUUCAUUUAUAUAUUUUCUUUCUUUCCCAGCUGCUGUCCACUUCCUCCCGUACUGUCUUCCACUCUCUCCCCGUGCUCCCUUCUGAUAUACGUUGGGGCUCCACAAAGGCAUUCAGCCUAAAGCCCCAAAAAAGCCAUCUGUAUCCUUGAUAAACUGAAGAACAAGUGAUUUUUUUUUUAUUCUGUAAUAUGUUCUUUAUCGUCCCUUUGGGGUUAAUUGAAAAUGAUGCUAUAACAGUAUAAUGUAUUAACACAUUAUGUUCACCCUUCUCUUAUAUUCCCUUUUUUUUUUAUUCUUCUCCAUCACUUCUUGCUUUCCCGUACUCACCCCACCAUGAUAUCUUCUUUCUUUUUUUAUUUUUAUUUUGUUUUUCUUUAUUCCUUUUGUCUUCUUUGUCUGACAGUCUGUUUUCCACAUCCUGCUGCUUUAUUUUCUUUUGUUUAUUACUUAAAACUCAUUUGUGCUAUUUUUUUUCUUUGCAUAAACAAAUUUCUAAACACAAUAAACGUAAAUAGCUCAAAAAGAAAAAACUAAAGAAAACGAGUGAAUUCGAAGUAAAAAUAUAUAUAAAUAAUGAUCCGAUCAAAUACCCCACACAGCUGUUUGCUAGUCCUCGAGCAAAACAAAGAAAACAGAACAAAAAUAACAAGAAAACAUUAGCUUCCUCUAUGUGACCCUCAUAGAAUUUCAUUCAAGAAAACAAAUCAUCAAGAACCAUACUAGCAUCAAGGAACUAAUCCAAGUUCAUCUUCCUUAUUCAAAUAUUAGCAGUAAUAUUAUCAUCCUUGAAGUGUAGUGUGUGAGAUAGCCAUGCUAAUGCAAUUUCAAGUUUUUUUUUUAAAUUCAUCAUAUGCAAACUAGCGACCUUCUCACGGGAUAUGCACUCAAUCACACAUGUGUUUAGUUUUAUGUGUUUCGCUCAAGAAUCAAAUGUGAAUUUCUACCAUAAGCUUGCAUAAAGAUCUCAUCCCACAAUCAUAAUUGCAAAACUUAAAUCAAGAGGACUUUAUUGGAUUGUAAUGAGGUUUAGGGAGAGGGUUAUUGAAAUGAAAGAAUAGGAAAAACACAAGUUCCAAGCUACAUUGCAAGCAAUUCUUUUCUUUAGAUUUAUAAGAACUCAAGCUUUCCAGCAAUUCUUCUAGCACUCCAACAUACUCUAAACUGAAAUUUAAAAAACUUUUUAUUUUUAUAUAUAUAACAUUAUUUUUUUUUUAUACAAUCUUUUUUUUUUCUUUUUUUUUUUUUUUUUUUUUUUUUUUUUUAAAUCACAACAUGAAAUACCCCACACUUAUUCUUUUGCCAAACAUCUUCAAGUAUUUCACAACGUUUCUCAUAAGACAAUCUCGCAUUGUCGCUUGGAAAGGGUAAGGAAAAAUGUUUAGUAUAAGGGUAGACAUAUCUGUGAUAAGAAAUAAAAGGCUCAACAAACACGGCUCAAAUUGGCAAUCUACAUGAUAUCAUUUUUCAUUUGGGAACAUGGUUAUUUGGGCCAUAUGGUAAACCUAAUGCCUCUAUCCUUUCAAGUUCAUGCAAUCAAUGACAAAUAUUUCGAAGAAUCGUUACGCAGUUCUAGAGAUGUAUCUCCAUAAGUUCAUCACACAUGAAAGAAUAGGAGUGUAUGAAAAUGCACACACUUUCAAUAGGCUCAAAAACUCACAUAGGAUGUAUAUGGUUCACUAAAUUCAUAUAAGUUUAAGUCAUGCUUUAGUUUCACAUUACAAGGCUAUGUGCAUUUGGUUUUUUCAAAGAUGGUCAAAGUACAAAACUAACAAGAAAUUAGGAAUUUCACAAAAACAUGUUAACUAAGUUCUUAUGAUCAUGGUUUCAAUUUAUCCAAUUAUAUCAUUGGGUCGGGAAACUAACAAAAAAUCUAAUUCAAACAAUAAGGGAACAAGACAAUAUUUUUGGAUUUUUAAAUUUUCGAUUUUUUUAAUUUUUUUUAAAAAAAAAAAAAAAAAAACAAAAAAUAGAAAACAAAAACAAUGCAAAACAAUGAAACCAGUUCGUAGAAGGUACAAAAAAAUUUUCAAUUUGGUCAUUUUUUUACCUUUACCCACUUAAACUUGACAUUGUCCCCAAUGUCAGAAACACUAUAAUGCAAAUAAAAAAAAUAAAAUAAAUAAUAAAGAAACAAAAUAAAAACAAUUGACUGAAAACUUCCCUAAUUUGCAGUAAAAUCAAGCGAUGACCCCAAGCUAAAAUUUUGCAAUCAACUUCAAGGGUGGAAAAUAACCAAAAGUUCCUGCAAAGAAAAGAAAUAAAUUCAGUUAAGUAACACAAGAAAAUAUAAAAAAAAAAUUGCAAACGAAAUUGAAAAUCACGAUAAAAGACAAUGAAUAAACUAAUAAGUAAUCAUUGGUCGGCUGUUGACUUUCCACAGCUUUCCUCUUGAACGGGUGACACUUAGCUUUUUACUUGCAAGUGAUGAUUUGAUGAUAUUGUACGGCGAAGCUUUGCUCUUUGGUGAUGUUGCAGUUCCUUAUUUGUUCUCCAAGCAGAUGUGGCAGCUUCUCUAGUUCUUCAGCUCGGACUCCUUCUGCUGGGAUGAUUGACGAGGCGCUCUGCUUGUUUCCUCUGCAUGGCGGGCAGCACGAGGUAGUAUUGGUCUGUUUUUUCUUCAAUCUUUCCAUCCCACUCUUGCUCUCUUUCCCUUGUCCUACUGAGGAUGAAUCAACACUUUGUCUCCAAUGCUUCGAGGUAUCAUCUUCACUUCCCUUAUACGGAGAGACGAGAGGAAACAUAAGAUGAUGAGUACUCGAGGAAGUGCUGGCUGGAAGAAGGACAGGGAGAAAAGCAUGAUAUGAGAUACCUUUGCUUUCAACCUUCAUGAUAUGAAAUACUUUUGCUUUGGAUGGGUUGUUUGCAGGGGUAUCCCAGGGAUGAAAAAUACAGAGUGACUUGAGAGGGUUUGUUGGAAGCCAUUUUCAGAGAGGAAGAAGUGCUGGGAGGGUGUGCCUUUGCUGUGGAAGGCGAAGGUAGAUACUUAUGGGACUUUUCUUCACAACCGGAACUAUUCCCUCACUCAUUGUCGGCAGCCGGUGGAUGGAUGAAUAGUACAAAUUACGCGCUUUCUGACAAAGCUGCCCGUAAUUUCCGCAAAGCAGAUUCCUCAUUGAUAUCUGGAAUCGGCGCUUCGGCUCUGAGCAUCGUCGAUUGUAGAGGUAGCAGUGACACGUGCGGAUAAAUCGGAAAGAAAGAUUUGCCGUGGUUGAAGCCCAGCUUUGAGAAACUGCGUGUCUUUGACUGUUAAUUUCCCUCUUCGAUUUCUGAAUUGGUGCUUCGACAAACUCCGAGAUUCCGCAAAAGCAGCAUUUGCGGUGUGACAAGUGACGACACGUCUGGACAAAUUGAUCUUUUGAAAAUCCGGGUUCGGCUCGUGUUUCUGAGCAAGCCCAGCCUUUAAGAAAUGAAACGCCUCUUUUGAAAAAGAAUCCGGCUUUAGAAAGGAAACUCCUCUUUUGAGAAAAGAAUCAGGCGUUUGAGAACGGAGCCCCGACUCUUUCGAUUUGCGAGAGGACGCUCUUCAAUUUCUGAGGAGCGCGCUUUUGAUUUCUUCUUUUUUAGAGGCGCUUAAUUUGUUCCACAACACACUUGAGCUCCCUCCUGUAAACACUCCCUUCUUACACUUGAAAUCUUUAAUCGUUCCGACCUCUCUUCUUUCUUCACCACCUCUGAAAAAUGUCUGGCCCUUCCGAUCGUCGUUUUGACUUGAACCUUGGUGAAGAGGCAGCUCCGCCUUCACCAGACAACAUAUGGGCGCCCAUCCUUCAUAUAUCCCCUACCGGUCCUCUUACCGUUGGGGGAUUCGGUGAUGAAAAAUGACAUGACCGCUGCGGUGGUGGCCGGAACCUUGUCACCCCCAGAGAUAACAGACUGCUCGCUAGACGGUCUGAUGAAUUGGCGGUUAAGGAGUCUCUGGCUCUUAGCGUGCAGUGUGCGGGUUCUGUGUCCAACAUGGCCCAACGCCUAUUUGCUCGAACCCGUCACGUUGAAUCGUUGGGUGGCUGAAAUACAGAGUCUCAAAGAGGAGAUUAGAGGACUCAAGCAUGAAAAUAAACAAUUGCACAAGCUUGCACACAAUUAUGCCACAAACAUGAAGAGGAAAAUUGACCAGCUGCAGGAAAAUGAUGGUCAAAUUUUACUUGAUCACCGGAGGUUUGUGGGUUUGUUCCAACCGCAUCUGCCUUCGUCUUCUGGGGCGGCACCGCGUAGUGAAGCUCCAACUGAUCAAUCUCCGAUACCUCCUCCUUCCGUGGCCCCGCCGACUGCUGAAGCACCGCCGACUACUGAAGCACCACCUGACCAAUGAAGCACCACCUGACCAAUGAAUGCUAUUAGCUUACACAUCAUUGUAAAAUAUUUUUACUUUUAUGUUUUUUUUUUUAAUUUUUUUUUUUUUUUUUUUUUAUUUUUUUUUUUUAAAUAUGUAAAUUAAUGUAAAAGACUUUGUUUAACCUUUCCCCCACACUUAAACUAAAUAACACAAACUCACAGAAAUCAACCAAAUAACACAACUAACUAAACAAAACAAAAUGAAAGCAGUAAAGAUAAGGGUGUAAGAAUGCAAAUCUGAUUUGGUUAGCGAUUCCAAAGUCUCCCUUCGUUGAAUGCUUGGGUUGCCUCCCAAGAAGCGCUUGAUUUAACGUCUUUAGCCGGACGAAUCUUUCCUUUAAAUUCCCCUCGGCUCCAAAGCAUGGAAUUUAUCUUUUAAUGGGAGGUGAUACUUGAAAUGAUUCGGCAAUGGUUUAAAUUCAAGAGUGGGUGCCUGAAUCAUCAAAAUCAGAAACAAUGUUAUAAAAUAAAAAUUAAAAAUUGGAGAAGAUGGCUUACUUUCUUUUUUCCGACACAAACUCAAUGACAAACACCACAUCUUUGAACAUUUCCGGGACUUUGAACUUGGCCAGGUUUACUAUGAUGGUUGUGGCUUGUCCCGUGUCAUCAAACUCAACUGCUUUGGGCUUGAUUGUCUCAUGCACAACCCCUUGGAUGUAUUCUUGAUAUGCUUCAACCACUUCAUUUCUCUGAAUCGUUCUUCUUGGGAAACAAAAGGCCUUUGAACGUAUUCAACAUGAUCGGGAACUUGUUUGGUGCACCAAGAAUUGGAUAUCACUUUUGCACCUUUGGAAGAGCUUCCACAAUGUUUUUUCACUCUCUUCUUGCUUUGGAAUAAAAAAACCUGCUAAGGAAAAAAGGACAUUGGGGGAAUAAAUGUAGAAUUGAAGUGAAUUUAGAACUUCCUUACCUGAGUUGGAUGACAUAGGGAUUUGAGGAGCUUGCAGUAAGGAAUUCUUCUAAACUGCCCAGGUCGUCCUCCUCCUCUUCUGCUUGCAGCAGCAAUUCAUCCAUGUUCGGGCUGUUUUGGAUGGUUCUGGGACAGCUUCAUCCUUCAUGUCAUCCUUCCAAAGUGAUAGCAUCGUGGAUUUCAAAAUCUUCCUUUUGAAUUUUCAACAGUUGAGCUGGAGAGUUUCACUUUGCUCUUGAAUUUGUACCAUGAAUUCCAUAAUUCUCCCAUUGACUCAUCAAUUAUCCAACUUUGUCUUGAUUUUGUGAGCCCUGCACCAUUUAAUUCAUCAAAAUUUGAUUGGAUAAUUUAUUGAAAUUUGAGUUUGAUUGAGCAAUUGCAUAGGUUUUGAAUAGAAAUCCUCCUCUUGCUGCCAAUAUCCUCUUGUUGGAAUUGUUGGAGGUUCCCCCCCACAUAUAAUUUGAAUGAUCUCUCCAAGCCGAAUUGUAAGCGUUGGAAAAACAUGUUGUUGCUUGGUUGAUCAUAGCCUUGAUAACCCCAAAUCUUCACAGGCAGAAAAUUGAGGACUUUUGAUAUCCUUGCCCAUAGGGCACAUCAAGUGUAGGGACACUUGGCAUUGUGGUCCGUUUCGGCAACUGACAUUUGAGAAAGUAAGACUUUGCCAAUUGAGCUUGAAUGCUAGCAAAAUCCAUGUCUACUUCUCUAGUACCUAAAAUCAAAAAAGAAAACUAAAUCAAAUAUCAAAAGUAAACAAAAAAGGAAAACAAAACUAAGUCAGAAACUAAAACAAAAACAAACUAAACAAAAAGAAAAGAACCAAGGGAUUAGCAAAGUUGCUAAUCCCCGCAACGGCGCCAAAAAUUUGUGUGAGAAUUAACUUGACACACAAAUUAAACCCUCUUUUUGACAAUUGUUAGUAUAGAUGUAAGUAGGGUAUCGUUCUUAGGCGGGGAUUAGGAGGGAUUGCUAAUCUAUUCUAAAUUAAUUUAAAAAAUUAAUUAAACAAGACUCAAGGACACAAAACUAGGCUAAAAACUCUAAUAACUCGAAACACACUUGAAUGACUCAAAAUAAUGAAAAACAAUCAAUUUAGACACUAGGAACUGAAAUGGACGGAAAUUGAAUUAAAAGACUAACAACAAUGAAAACUAACUAAAUAAUAUAAUUUAAUAAUGGGGGGUUUGGUUUUGACGAGAAGUAAAUUAAACUUAAAUAAAUUACAGAAUUGACAAAAAGCAUGAAUUAAGGUGAAAUGGAUAGUGACGGAUUAGCUAUAGGGUUCUUCUCCACACAUGACACAUAUGCAACUAAAUUGAUUUUCAGUUGUUCUUUAAUAAAUUUAAAUCUCAACGCCCCAAAUAACGUGAAUUGCACUAAUUAACCCUUAGUUUCCACAAUGUUAUUGUUGGGAAUUGCAUAAGACAACCAAACAUUCCCACAAGUUUACAUGAAUGCAUAUAAAAGGACACAAGCAUGUUCCGAAAAACAUUGACUAGGCUCGUUAUAUGAUUUGCAUGAACUUAUGCCAAGAAUUUACUUAACGUGAUGUGACUAAACCUCACUACUACUUGUGAAUAAAGUUCAUAACGAUUAGUGGAAGUUCACUUAUAUUCUAGCAAUCAAAUUCAUGCAUGAAUUAAGUAUGCAUCCUUAAUCGAAUACAAAAAUAAGUUAUAAAAUCAAGCAGUUAAGCAAAUUAAAUCACAAACUCAGAAAUCACAACUGAAGGUAAUCAANUCAUUGUCGGCAGCCGGUGGAUGGAUGAAUAGUACAAAUUACGCGCUUUCUGACAAAGCUGCCCGUAAUUUCCGCAAAGCAGAUUCCUCAUUGAUAUCUGGAAUCGGCGCUUCGAGCUCUGAGCAUCGUCGAUUGUAGAGGUAGCAUGUAACGUGCGGAUAAAUCUGGAAAAAGAAGAUUUGCCCGUGGGUUGAAGCCCAGCUUUUGAGAAAGCUAGCGUGUCUUUGACUGUUGAAUUUCCCUAUUCGAUUUCUGAAUUGGUGCUUCGACAAACUGCCCGAGAUUUCCGCAAAGCUGCAAGUUGCAUGUGACGAGUGACGACACGUCUGGACAAAUUGAUCUUUUGAAAUCCGGUGUUCGGCUCGUGGUUUUUGAGCAAGCCCAGCCUUUAAGAAAUGAAAUGCCUCUUUUGAGAAAAGAAUCCGGCUUUUGAGAAAGGAAACUCCUCUUUUGAGAAAAGAAUCAGGCGUUUGAGAACGGAGCCCCGACUCUUCGAUUUGCGAGAGGACGCCUCUUCAAUUUUUGAGGAGCGCCUCUUUGAUUUCUUUCUUUUUAUAGAGGCGCUAAUUUUGUUACAACACACUUGAGCUCCCUCCUGUAAACACUCCCUUCUUACACUUGUUUAAUCUUGAUCAGUCCUCCUCUCUUCUUUCUUCACCACCUCUGAAAAUGUCUGGCCCUUCCGAUCGUCGUUUUGACUUGAACCUUGGUGAAGAGGCAGCUCCGCUUCACCAGACAAAUAUGGCGCCCAUCCUUCAUAUCCCCUACCGGUCCCCUUACCGUGGGGGAUUCGGUGAUGAAAAAUGAUAUGACGCUGCGGUGGUGGCCGGAACCUUGUCACCCCCAGAGAUAACAGACUGCUCGCUAGACGGUCUGAUGAAUUGGCGGUUAAGGAGUCUCUGGCUCUUAGCGUGCAGUGUGCUGGUUCGGUGUCCAACAUGGCCCAACGCCUAUAUGCUCGAACCCGUCACGUUGAAUCGUUGGUGGCUGAAAUACAGAGUCUCAAAGAGGAGAUUAGAGGACUCAAGCAUGAAAAUAAACAAUUGCACAAGCUUGCACACAGUUAUGCCACAAACAUGAAGAGGAAAAUUGACCAGCUGCAGGAAAAUGAUGGUCAGAUUUUACUUGAUCACCGGAGGUUUGUGGGUUUGUUCCAACCGCAUCUGCCUUCGUCUUCUGGGGCGGCACCGCGUAGUGAAGCUCCAACUGAUCAAUCUCCGAUACCUCCUCCUUCCGUGGCCCCGCCGACUGCUGAAGCACCGCCGACUACUGAAGCACCACCUGACCAAUGAAGCACCACCUGACCAAUGAAUGCUAUUAGCUUACACAUCAUUGUAAAAUAUUUUUACUUUUAUGUUUUUUUUUUAAGUGUUUUUUUUUUUAUUUUAUUUUAUUUUUAAAUAUGUAAAUUAAUGUAAAAAGACUUUGUUUAACCUUUCCCCACACUUAAACUACAAACUCACAGAAAUCAACCAAAUAACACAACCAACUAAACAAAACAAAAUGAAAGCAGUAAAGAUAAGGGUGUAAGAAUGCAAAUCUGAUUUGGUUAGCGAUUCCAAAGUCUCCCUUCGUUGAAUGCUUGGGUGCCUCCCAAGAAGCGCUUGAUUUAACGUCUUUAGCCGGACAAAUCUUUCCUUUAAAUUCCCCUCGGCUCCAAAGCAUGGAAUUUAUCUUUUAAUGGGAGGUGAUACUUGAAAUGAUUCGGCAAUGGUUUAAAUUCAAGAGUGGGUGCCUGAAUCAUCAAAAUCAGAAAAAUGUUAGUAUAAAUAAAAAUUAAAAUUGGAGAAGAUGGCUUACUUUCUUUUUCCGACACAAACUCAAUGACAAACACCACAUCUUUGAACAUUUCUGGGAUUUUGAACUUGGCCAGGUUUACUAUGAUGGUUGUGGCUUGUCCCGGGUCAUCAAACUCAACUGCUUUGGGCUUGAUUGUCUCAUGCACAGCCCCUUGGAUGAAUUCUUGAUCUGCUUCAACCACUUCAUUCUCUUGAAUCGUUCUUCUUGGGAAACAAAGGCCUUUGAAAUAUUCAACAUGAUCUAGAACUUGCUUUGUUGCACCAAGAAUUGGAAUAUCCUUUUGUACCUUUGGAAGAGCUUCCACAAUGUCUUUUUCACUCUCUUCUUGCUUGGGAAUAAAAAACCUGCUAGGAAAAAGGACAUUGGGAGGAAUAUCAUUAGAAUGAAGUGAAUUUAGAACUCCCUUACCUGAGUUGGAUGACAUAGGGAUUUGAGGAGCUUGCAGUAAGAAUUCUUCUAAACUGCCCAGGUCGUCCUCCUCCUCUUCUGCUUGCAGCAGCAAUUCAUCCAUGUUCGGGCUGUGUUUGGAUGGUUCUGGGACAGCUUCAUCCUUCAUGUCACCUUCCAAAGUGAUAGCAUCGUGGAUUUCAAAAUCUUCCUUCGAAUUUUCAACAGUUGAGCUGGAGAGUUCACUUUGCUCUUGAAUUUGUACCAUGAAUUCCAUAAUCUCUCCCAUUUGACUCAUCAAUUUAUCCAACUUCUUGUCUUGAUUUUGUGAGCCCUGCACCAAAGAAUUUAAUUCAUCAAAAAUUUGAUUGUAAUCUAUUGACGAAUCUGAGUUUGAUUGAGCAUAUUGCAUAGGUUUUGAAUAGAAAUCCUCAUCUUGCUGCCAAUAUCCCUCUUGUUGGAAUUGUUGAGGUUCCCCCCACAUAUAAUUUGAAUGAUCUCUCCAAGCCGAAUUGUAAGCGUUGGAAAACAUGUUGUUACUUGGUUGAUCAUAGCCUUGAUAACCCCAAGCAUCUUCAUUGGCAGAAAAUUGAGGACUUUGAUAUCCUUGCCCAUAGGGCACAUCAAGUGUAGGGACACUUGGCAUUGUGGUCCGUUCGGCAUACUGCGACAUUUGAGAAGUAAGAUUUGCCAAUUGAGCUUGAAUGCUAGCAAAAUCCAUGUCUUACUUCUCUAGUACCUAAAAUCAAAGAAAGAAAACUAAAUCAAAUAUCAAAAGUAACACAAAAUAAGGAAAACAAAACUAAGUCAGAAACUAAAACAAAACCAAACUAAACAAAAAGAAAAGAACCAAGGGAUUAGCAAAGUUGCUAAUCCCCGGCAACGGCGCCAAAAUUUGGUGUGAGAAUUACUUGACACACAAAUUAAACCCUCUUUUUGACAAUUGUAGUAUAGAUGUAAGUAGGGUAUCGUUCUAGGCCGGGGAUUAGGAGGGAUUGCUAAUCUAUUCUAAAUUAAUUUAAAAAUAUUAAACAAGACUCAAGGACACAAAACUAGGCUAAAAACUCUAAUAACUCGAAACACACUUAGAAUGACUCAAAAUAAUGAAAACAAUCAAUUUAGACACUAGGAACUGAAAUGGACGGAAAUUGAAUUAAAAGACUAACAACAAUGAAAACUAACUAAAUAAUAUAAUUUUAAUAAUGGGGGGGUUUGGUUUUGACGAGAAGUAAAUUAAACUUAAAUAAAUUACAGAAUUGACAAAAGCAUGAAUUAAGGUGAAAUGAUAAGUGACGGAUUAGCUAGAGGGUUCUUCUCCACACAUGACACAUAUGCAACCUAAAUUGAUUUUCAGUUGUUCUUUCAAUAAAAUUGUAAAUCUCAACGCCCCAAAUUAACCGUGAAUUGCACUAAUUAACCCUCAGUUUUUCCACAAUGUUAUUGGGUUGGAUGAUUGCAUACGACAACCCAAAACAUUCCCUACAAGUUCCCUACAUGAAUUGCAUAAUAGAGACACAAGCAAGAAUCAUUAAGUUCUAUGAAAAACAUAAGCAUUGACGAGGCACUCGUUACUAUGAUUUUGCAUGAAACUUUAUGCCAAGAAUUUACUUAACGUGAUUGUGACUAGCAACCUUCACUACUUGUGAAUAUAAGUUCAUAACGAUUAGGUGAAGUUCACUUAUAUUCUAGCAUCAAAUUCAUGCAUGUAAAUUAAGUAUGCAUCCUUAAUCGACAUACAAAAAUAAGUUAUAAAUCAAGCAGUUAAGCAAAUUAAAUCACAACUCAGAAAUCACAACUGAAGGUAAUCAAUUCAUAUUACAAAUAUAUUCAUGGUUUUGAAUUAACCUCUAGCCAAAAUAAAUUUAGUUACACAUUAUUAAAACAGAAAUAAAAUAUAAGUUUGGAAAGAUUUAACCGAAAGAGGAAAAGAUCUCUGUCUGCGUUUCCACUGAGCUGCCCUCUCGCUGCCCAAAGGCAACGCCUAUCUGCACGUCUCUGCUCCCCGUUCCUUCUCGCUACGCCUUGCCACCUCUUCUUUUAUUCUGCUGUCAGUCAAGGCUGCAAGACAGCACCCCGUGCUCACCUCUCGGUUUCUAUCCUUCCUCUGACUGUCUCGCUGACAGUCUCCUGGCGCACUGUCUCCCCAAUUCUUUUCUUCACGACCUUCUUAUAUUUUCCUUUCCGUCAGUCUACCCGCGUCAACCCCUCUCACUGCCCAAAGGCAGCACCUCGUCUGGACCCUUUCUCUAUCCCAUACUGACUUGCCUCGUCUCUCCGUCCUCUCCCCCAAUUAGUUUUCUGUUCCGCAC
rnacentral:lncRNA from 1 species